UCUGCAUCCUGUAAUCUGCUGUUAAUUCCUGCUAGUGUAUGUAUUCUCCAGUUUGAUUGGUUUUUGUACUUUCUCUUUAUUGAAGUUCUCACUGAGUUUUGCUACUCUUCCAAAUUCAUUGACCAUCUUUAUGACUGUCUCUUUGAAUUCCUUAUCAGGUAGAUUGUAUCUUCAUUGUUUAGUUCUUUUUAAUGAGGUUUUGUCUUAUUUCCCUUGGAACAUAUUCCUCUGUCUCCUUAUUUUGUCUGAUUCUCUGGUUUUCUAUGUAUUAGUAGAUCAACUUUUUCUCUUGAUCUUGAAGGUAGUGGUCUUAUGUGUGUGUGGGCUUAUGGGGCCCAGAAGCACAGUUCCCUCUGGUCACCAGAACCAGAUGCUCCUGGAGUGUCCCGUUUGAGGACUUUGUGCAAGCUGCUGUUAUGACUGGGAGGUAACUGCUGUGGGGGUGCCUGUAGGUGGGACUGGCCCCCAAAGCUGCUGCCUGAGGGGUCUGGCAGCAACUGUUAUGUACAUGCUGGUGGGCAGGGUUGCCUCCCCUCCUCCCCAGGGUAAGAGUUGCUUUGGAGGGAUGCUAGUCUCAUGGAGGCUGCCUACUGGUUGUAGCAGGGCAGGAACUGCUUUGGAGGGACAUUUGUCUGGAUUGGUGGAUUGAGUGUGGCUGGUCCACAGGGGAAUACCAGGGUGGGUUGAUUGGUGCCAGCAAUGCAAUUGGAGAGUGUCAGGACUCUCUCCUUCCAGCAUUGGGCCAGGUAGGUUGAGAAAGGUCAAGAAAAAAAAAAAAGUGAGCACAGUUAUCUGAAAACUAGAAAAGAUAAAUCUAGUAUCAGAAAGCAUGUACCAGUGCUUGCCAUGGGAUGAGGAUGGGAAAGGACUAAGAUGGGGAGCAAAGGGAACUGUUUGGAAUGAUGGCAGUGGUGGUUAUGUGGGUGUAUAAAUUUAUCAAACUUACUUAAAUAUACAAUUAAAUAUUAUUGUACUUCAACUACCCUUCAUUAAGCUAAUUAUAAAAAAUAGGUCCCAGGUGCACUGGGUGGUGGCUCAAUUGGUUAAGCAUCCAACUCUUGAUCUUAGCUCAGGUCUUGAUCUCAGGGUCAUGAGUUCAAGCCCCACACUGGGUUCCAUGCUGGGCAUGGAGCUGACUUAAAAAAAAAAAAAAAGUCCUAAACUAAAAAUAAAAGCCAAUAUAGCAGUUACA
rnacentral:lncRNA from 1 species